CCUCCCGCCCCAUCCGGCGGCUGAGGGGGAGGGACCAAAUUGGCGACCACGUGAUCCUCUCCCGGAAAGGCUUCGCCGAGAACUUGACUCUGUUUCAAAGUCAGAAGAACUAGAAGAACUACUGGAUGAUGGAGAAGACGAAGAACUGGAUGUGCUUUCAUCACUAUCACUGUCAUCUGACGAGGAGGAGGAGGAGGAGUCAUCGCUCUCUGAUGAAGACUCGCUAGCUGAGGCUUCUCCUGAUGAGGCAGUGGAAAAUCGCAACAGAUUGUCUGAAGACCAGUCAUUUGAAGCUCAGUUCAGAUGAAUACAGCAAAGUGUCGGAGUAAGUGUGUGUGUAUAAAUCAACCAGUCUUUUCAAGAACACAUACAGGUAGGUAAACCUUACUGCAAAUUAAUAUUCUGUGAUAUUCUCUUAUCACAAAAAAGAUAAACCACUUUAAUUUUACAUCUAAGAAAUGUUUACAGAAUGUGAUUAAUUUUAGAAAAUUAAGACACACAACUUCUAGGCUCCCAUUUAAUGUGGCUCAUUUAACCAUGAUUUAUUGCUUCCUUAAAGCUAUGAAUGUCAUUCACUCCCAGAGCAGCUGCCAUUGUCUACUACAGUACUUAAUAGUUUCAAAUUGUGAUUAUUGCUAACAGGAAUAGCAACAAUUGCGAGAUUAGAUGAUAUGGUCUAAAAAAUAUUAUAUCCAGUAUUAUUUAUGUUUACUGUUGUGACUAUGUAUUUACCAGUUUUUCUGAAUACAUCCAAAUAUUGUAUAAAUAAUAAUUGGGAAAGGGUUGGGAAAGACUCUUUCAUAAUAUUCAUUUAAUUCUAAGAAGUUAAGAACCUCUUUAACUAAUUCCAGCAUUACAAAAUAUUUAAAUUUACAGAGAGAAAACACUUUGAGUGCCAGCAUUAUUAGAGAAAGCUCACUAUAAAAUGUUUAACACAAGAUUAAAAGCCAAUUAGAAGAUAUUCAUUAGAUUUAAUGUAAUAUAUAUAAACAGCAUUACUUAAGUUUUUAAAGCAUGCAUUUAAUCAUUAAUUUAUGAAACCAUAAUUUGGCUCACACAAUUCAGCAGUGUGCUGCACAGGAAACAACUACCCUUUAUUUCUAAUAAUGUUUGAACAAAUAACAUUUUGUGAGAAAGUUAUGGGAGACGGCACUUCCAUGUGCAUGCCAGCAAGCAAAGCAAAACAAACAGGGCAAGAAAUCACAACCAUAACUGCCCAGACACCAAUUAAACCGCUUACUCUGACAGUUUUUCCACAGCAAGCGAUGCUGACAGAAACAUACCGCAACACACAAUGGCUCUCCUCCCGAGGUUAGCAUCAAGGGAGCUAGGACAUUUUUCGCACCUUUACCCCCUGACCCCUACAGAAGCCGCGGCGUUCUAGGUACUUCAGCACCUGCCCUCUCGACACGUACACGAGAAUCCACCCUCCUUAAAAGACCAAUUGCACACAUGCCAACUAUGUCUCGCCCUUUUAAAAAGGUCUUCCCAAUUCUUCCUUCUUAGCGCUGUCCUUCCCCUAACAGCUGGGGAGCAAGUGUUUUGGAUUUCCCGCGCUUCACCCGCAGGACUGCCUCCAGCUUGUUUAACACCCCUCUCUCGAGAAGCCCAUGGUGGUUGCUUCCCUCUCCAGCCUUUCUCUACCCGCCACAC